GCCUGGGUGGUUCAGUCGGUUGAGCGUCCGACUUCGGCUCAGGUCAUGAUCUCGCGGUCCGUGAGUUCGAGCCCCACUUCGGGCU
rnacentral:tRNA from 1 species